GUCUAUAGCCAUGCUACCCUGAACAAGCCUGAUCCCGUCUGAUUUCAGAAGCUAGCUAAGCAGGGUCGGGCCUGAUUAGUACUUGGAUAGGAGACCACCCAGGAAGACCAGGUGCUGUAAGCA
rnacentral:rRNA from 1 species